rnacentral:misc_RNA from 1 species
AAGUCGUAACAAGGUUUCCGUAGGUGAACCUGCGGAAGGAUCAUUAUUGAAUUCAUAUAUGCAAAGGAGUUGUGCUGGUAAUAAAUAUUGCAUGUGCACACUCUGAAGCUAUAUAAUAUAUACACCUGUGAACCAACUGUAGUCUGGAGAAAUCCUGACUAUGAUUACUCUAUAUAACUCUUAUUGUAUGUUACAUAGAACGAUCUCAUAUUGAAGCUUUGUUUUUUUUACAAGUUUCUCUUAAUUGAAAAAUACACAACUUUCAACAACGGAUCUCUUGGCUCUU